UGCACCAUCUAGUGGUGUGCGGACGUCCGGACGAAUGGGUGGGUGUCUCAACGUGUUCACUGCACCUGUGGAUGGUGGCUCAGCCAAAGAGCGGCGCGCGCCGGAGCGGCCGGCAACUAGGAUGGGACCCCAGUCGACCCGGCGCGACUGGCGGCCCUUUCUCUACGGUGGCAUGUCGUCCUGUUUCGCAGAGUUCUGCACCUUCCCGAUCGACACUACAAAGAUCCGGUUACAGGUGCAGGGCCAGCGAGUGGCCGGUCUGCGCGAGCUGCGCUACCGCGGCAUGAGCCACGCGCUCGUCCGUAUUAGCCAGGAGGAGGGACUGCGGGCACUCUACCGAGGGAUCUCUCCAGCGGUACUGCGUCAGUCCACCUACGGUACAAUCAAGUUCGGUGUCUACUACACCAUGAAGGGCGUCAUAUGUCCAAACCCUGCCGACGAGACGCUACUCUCCAACGUCUGCUGUGCCAUCGUCGCUGGCGUCGUCUCCAGCUCGAUUGCCAACCCCACGGACGUGCUCAAGGUGCGGAUGCAGGCGGCCAACGACUCUGUGCGCCAGAAGGGCAUGGUGCGCUGCUUCUCCGACAUCUACCAGCAGGAGGGCGUGCGCGGCCUCUGGCGGGGUGUCGGACCCACGGCCCAGCGCGCCGCAGUCAUUGUCGGCGUCGAGCUGCCGCUGUAUGACUUCUUCAAACGCUACUUCAUCCAGAACGACAUCAUGGGCGACUCCACCGGCAACCACUUCGCACGGCCGGCCAGGCUCGGCGCUGCGCGCGGCGCCCGCAGCGGACGUCCCACCGGGCGCGGCUGACCUCGGGCGCUGAGAGCUCCAGUCUACUCUCCAGCCUCGGAGGAGCAGUCGCCUCGACUCCCAUCGACGUGCUCAGGACACGAAUGAUGAACCAGCGCGCACUGCUGCACGCCGGUCCGGCGGCGGCCGCGGCGGCCUCUGAGGGCGUAGUGCCGGCCCACUUUUACCGGAGCAGCCUCGACUGCCUCUACAAGACGGUGCGGUACGAGGGCUGCCGGGCGCUCUACAAGGGCUUCGUGCCCACCUGGCUGCGGCUCGGCCCGUGGAACAUCAUCUUCUUCGUCUCGUUCGAGCGGCUAAAACAGCUCUACUAGGCGGCCGGUCGGCGGGGCUCCGGGAGUUCGGAGCACGUCCCCACUAGUUCAAUUGGUUCGGCGUGGUGCGGCCCGGGCCGCUCGGUCCGGCCGCGGGGUGCCAAGGCUGUGAGGACCCGCGGCGCUGCGGGCGCUACCGACGAGUGUUCAGUGACGAGUGUUCACUGUGUGCUGGAUCUGACUUCUGCCGGGCGGCGGCCGCCGGUGGGAGCUGAUUGGUGUGUGGAGCUGUGUGGGAGCUGUGGCUGGGUGGAAGAUCGGUAUGAGACCGUUGUGGGUGGGAGCUGAUGUACGAGUGUGACCGAGUCGGAGAGUGGGUGGCUGAGUGUGUGUGUGCGGCUGUCUGCGCUCAUCCCGGCAGUUUGACGAAAACGACCGUGAACAACAUGGACAGACACCGUCGAACACGAUCGGCAGUCGCCGUGUUCUCUUCAAGCAUUACUCGCUCAUGGAUGGUGUUUCCAUAUUGGGGUUGCCAAAUGUCAUUUUCUCACCUCAUAUGAACGCUGGUCGGUGUUCAGGCGCACUCUUGCCCUGCUCAUCGACCAAUCACUGUACCAUCCCCCUUCAUGGGCAACUUUUCUCUGAAACGCUCGAGCUAUUUUCAAAUGUAAUCAUGUGUAAAUCGCUUUAAGAAGUUGAUCUGUUUUUGUCGAGUGACGGGCCGGUCCGGAGAGGCGGGCCCGUUUCGUCACUGUUUCAAUGCUCUGAUCAAUAAAUCUGCAGUAUAAU
rnacentral:misc_RNA from 1 species